UUUGAUGCCUGUUGCGAAAGGGAUGGGGGCUGCAGAGUUCACCGUAUGCUGGUGUCAGGAGCACGGACAGCAGAGCUCCCAGCAGAAGGGCACGGCAGAGGACAAGGGUGGCUGGGGGACAUGGUGGCUCAGCUCCACCCAGCAGAAGUUCCUGCUCAGGGCUCCAGCAAGCACCAGGGCAGGAGGGAAGUGCCCAUCUGUGCACACAUCAGCUGUGCCUCCUGGGGCAUCCCCGCCUGACAAUGCGCCCAGCUGACGCAGGGAGGUGGCAGCUGUGCCUCCACGCUGCAUGGCUUUACUGGGAGCGGGGCUAUAAAAGUGGUAUGGAGUCAAUCCUGUCCUCACGGAAUCAAGUCUUAAAUCACUACAAUGGGAACACAGCUGAUUCUGAUUCAUUGUACCCUGUUCCCUGUGUUACAUCUACUCUGAAUGUCUGCACUUCUCUUGUCAAAAUAAUCUCCAAUGGAAUCACUGCAAGCAUUUUUUCUACCUAUAUAUUGUCAUAUACUACUUGCCAGUUUUUCUUCUUUUUUUGUUUUGAUGGAAUACACAAAGAUCAGAACAUAACAGAAGGUGCUGAACAGUAUUUGUCCUUUUAUUCCUACACUGCUCAAAUAUUGUUUCACUAAAACUGGAACUUUUCACUCAUGGGAAAGAUUGAUCAAGAUCAGAGAGUACAUACUGAUAUGACUACAGAUAUUGUCAGUUUCAUGAGUGUAUGAAUUUUAAUUGUGCAUUUUGACAAAUGCAAAUUAAAGAACCUGCUUUUCUCUAUUGACUGUCCUUAGGUUAUUAAGUGGAAAUAAUUGAAUCAUAGAAUCACAGAAUGGCCUGGGUUGAAAGGACCACAGUGAUCAUCGAGUUUCAACCCCGGCUAUGUGCAGGGUCACCAACCACUAGACCAGGCUGCCUAGAGCCACAUCUGGCCUGUACUUGAAUGCCUCCAGGGAUGGGGCAUCCACAGUCUCCUUGGGGCUCAGCUCUGUCCCUAUCAGAAAAAUGAUGCUUUCAGAAUUUUUACAUUAUUUAUGAGAUAGAGUAUUUUUUCUUUGUUUGUUUCUGUGUUUUUGUUUUUGUUCAAUACUAAUAAGGGCUGUGGCUUUAGGAAAACAUAGUUUCUCUGACACUGCCAUGUGAUCAGAUGGCUUACACUGAACUAAAUAAAUGGUCUUGAAAAUACAUAUUGUUUGAAAUAAAGGACCUUAUUUUCAAGUACUAUGAAACACAUGGACAUCUCAUAGAAAAAGAACUAUUAGCUGACGCACUGAGAACAGCUUUAAUCCACUCUCCCUAUGAGCUCUUAUGAGCUCAUGGUUCAAAGGACACUUUCAUGUUUUUAUAUUAAGCGCUUAGAAUUCUUUGUGAGCAAAAACUUUUAUAAGGAUUUUCAGCUUUUAAAAAGAGUCUUUCCAAGAUUUCUGUGAGAUUGCUCAAGCAACAUAUCCAGUCCUCAGAACAAUCCCACAAAAUGAAUAAACUUUGACAUACAAGUGCCUGUCACAUCUUGAAAGCGUUUAGCUUUUGAGAACAUUUUGUAGAAGAGUUUUUUGUUAUAUGGAUCUUUCAUCCAUUUUCCCAUCCUCAUCCAGCAGCCAAAAUUAUUAUCAGAGAAACCUGUGCAGACCUCACAAAAUAAAAAUGGAGGUGUUACAGAAGGUGAAAGUUCAGUUCUUCAUGUUUAAGUCAGCAAGAGCACUGAGUUCAAGAGAAAGAUUUACUGAAAUCUUCAGUUAGGAGUAAAGGAAGAAAACCUUAUAGGGCCCGUGAAGCUUGUAUUUCCAAACAAGUGUUAAUAAAUCACAGUUCAUCUCAUUUAAAAUCUGUAUAAAAUAAUUUAGAUAAAAUGCACUUAACAAACAUCAAAGUUCUACCUACUUGCAAUAGAUAACCUGAGGCAGAAGUGUCCAAUAUAAGUAGGGUAGUUUCAGCCUUGUAAAAAUCAUGAAAAUACUUUGCAAAGUUGUUUUGAAAAUGUCUUUUGGCAACCCUGAUGACUCCAGGUAUAUACUGAUGGGAUCACAUUAAUGUCUUUGGCUACCUGAGCUUAUCAUUCCUCACAUUAAUAUUAAUGUAAUCAUUUUGGACUUCUUAAUAGACUUCACAGAGUCUUCACGGUUUGUCUUCACAGAGUCACAGUGUUAUUUAUGUAAGAUCUUUUCCAGAGUCUCAGUUUAGUAAAGAUUGGGACUUACAGUGGUAAGGUCACUGUAAUACUGAGGACAAAAGAGAAACACCUCUGGGAAAAUGUCUGGUGUCUUAUGCUGAAUAAUUUCUCUUAUUGUAUAAAUUUCUUAUGCUUUAUAUUUUCAUACUUGUUUAUACUGUGUGGCUCCUGCUCUCAUUAAAAAAAUAUAUAUAUAUAUAAAAAAAUAAAUGCUGUAACAUAUCAAUAUUAUUAUCUGCCCUUCUAUAAAUAAAACAGCC
ensembl:lncRNA